UACGGAGGGGGCUAGCGUUGUUCGGAAUCACUGGGCGUAAAGCGUGCGUAGGCGGCUUUGUAAGUCAGAGGUGAAAGCCCAGGGCUCAACCCUGGAAUUGCCUUUAAGGCUGCAUCGCUUGAACAUCGGAGAGGUAAGUGGAAUUCCGAGUGUAGAGGUGAAAUUCGUAGAUAUCAAGCGGAACACCGGUGGCGAAGGCGGCCUUCUGGACAGUGACUGACGCUGAGACGCGAAAGCGUGGGGAGCAAACAGG
rnacentral:rRNA from 1 species